GAAAUUCAACCGUAGGAUGAGAGG
rnacentral:piRNA from 1 species